rnacentral:rRNA from 1 species
CCUACGGGAGGCAGCAGUGGGGAAUAUUGCACAAUGGGUGAAAGCCUGAUGCAGCAACGCCGCGUGAAGGAAGAAGGCCUUCGGGUCGUAAACUUCUGUCCUUGGGGAAGAAGAACUGACGGUACCCAAGGAGGAAGCCCCGGCUAACUACGUGCCAGCAGCCGCGGUAAUACGUAGGGGGCAAGCGUUAUCCGGAUUUACUGGGUGUAAAGGGGGCGCAGACGGCAGCGAAAGCCAGGAGUGAAAGCCCGGGGCCCAACCCCGGGACUGCUCUUGGAACUGCGCGGCUGGAGUGCAGGAGGGGCAGGCGGAAUUCCUGGUGUAGCGGUGAAAUGCGUAGAUAUCAGGAGGAACACCGGUGGCGAAGGCGGCCUGCUGGACUGCGACUGACGUUGAGGCCCGAAAGCGUGGGGAGCAAACAGGAUUAGAUACCCCUGUAGUC